CGGGCGGCCGUGACCCUGCUGGAGUGCGGGGGGGACCUCCAGCCCCCCGGGGGGUCCCUGGCUCUGCUCUGCCGCGGGUCUGGGUUCACGUUUGGGAGUUUCGGAAUGAUCUGGAUCCGCCAGAGCCCUGGGAAGGCGUUGCAGUUCGUUGCCAGUAUCCACAAGGAUGGCAGCACCUGGUACACAGAGUCAGUCAAGGGCCGGUUCUCGCUCUCCAGGGACAACGGGCAGAGCUCGGUGACGCUGACCAUGAACAACCUCAAGGACGAGGAUUCCACCGUUUAUUUCUGCGCCAAGAGUGCUGGUGUGGGUGUUGCUCUUGAUGCUGAAUACGUUGAUGGAUUUGGCCCUGUUCCUGUCACUGUGUCCCCACCUGUCCAAAACGCCCCCAGACCCUUCCCCCAAACCCCAACCCUUGACCACAACCUUGAGCACUGA